rnacentral:rRNA from 1 species
AUGAACGCUGGCGGCGUGCUUAACACAUGCAAGUCGAACGAGAAGUGAAGACGGAAACCUUCGGGCGGAAGGCUUUAUUUCGAGUGGCGGACGGGUGAGUAACGCGUGGGUAACCUGCCUCAUACAGGGGGAUAACAGUUGGAAACGACUGUUAAUACCGCAUAAGACCACAGCACCGCAUGGUGCGGGGGUAAAAACUCCGGUGGUAUGAGAUGGACCCGCGUUCGAUUAGCCAGUUGGCGGGGUAACGGCCCACCAAAGCGACGAUCGAUAGCCGAUCUGAGAGGAUGACCGGCCACAUUGGGACUGAGACACGGCCCAAACUCCUACGGGAGGCAGCAGUGGGGAAUACUGCACAAUGGGGGAAACCCUGAUGCAGCGACGCCGCGUGAGUGAAGAAGUAUUUCGGUAUGUAAAGCUCUAUCAGCAGGGAAGAAAAUGACGGUACCUGAGUAAGAAGCCCCGGCUAACUACGUG